rnacentral:rRNA from 1 species
CGCAUCUGUGCAUGCAGCAUAUCAAUAAGCGGAGGAAAAGAAACUAACAAGGAUUCCCUUAGUAACGGCGAGUGAAGCGGGAAGAGCUCAAAUUUGAAAUCUUCAAGGUUUUACCUUGACGAAUUGUAGUUUAAAGAAGUGUUUUCUGUUGAAGUUUUGGUAAAAGUUCUUUGGAAUAGGACAUCAUAGAGGGUGAGAAUCCCGUAUUUGACCAUUAUUUUCAGCUGUGUGAUACACUUUCAAAGAGUCGGAUUGUUUGGGAAUGCAGUCCAAAAUGGGUGGUAAAUUUCAUCUAAAGCUAAAUAUUGGCGAGAGACCGAUAGCGAACAAGUACCGUGAGGGAAAGAUGAAAAGAACUUUGAAAAGAGAGUUAAACAGUACGUGAAAUUGUCAAAAGGGAAGCGUUUGACACCAGUGUUGUUUUCUCGAAAAUCAAUUAAAAAGAGUUAGAUUUUGUUGUGUAUUGACCUUAACAGCUUGCAUUUCAAUUUUCUUGCUUUUUUUAAUGCACUUUUCGUUUAACAAGUCAACAUCAGUUUCUUUUGUUGUAAAAAGGUCAUUGGAAGGUGGCUUUCUUUUCGGAGAAAGUGUUUAUAGCCUUUGACUCCUGCAAUCGGAGAGACUGAGGUCUGCAGCGUAGAUCCUUCGGGGUUAGAUACAUUUGUGCUAAGUUGUAGCUUUUCAUAGACAACUUGUUGACUAUGUUUAGUCAUGCGGCUUACUCGCUUAUGCUAUUUUACCUACGCUUAGGAUGUUGAAGACUCUACAGAGAUA